rnacentral:lncRNA from 1 species
AAGUUUGUUAUGCAAGGUAGGUAAGUUCUGGAGAUCUAACGAACAACAAUGUAACUAGAGUUAACGAUAUUGUAUUUUAUACUUGAAAUUUGCUAAGAGAGUAGUUUUCAUCACAAAAAGAAAAAGAAAAAGGAAACUAUCUGAGGUGACAGACAUGUUAAUUAGGUUGAUUGUGAUGAAUGUUUCACAAUGCAAAUGUAUAUCAAAUCAUUAAUUAUAUACCUUAAAUGAAUAAAACUUUUAAUUAUCAACUAUACCUCAAUAAAGCUGGGAAAAAAACUCAAAAGGCAGAAGCCAUGAGGACACCCCAUGAACCUUGCCAUGUUCCAGAGCCUCUGGGAGGCCUCUUGAACCAAACAUGACACGCGACUGGCUGACACAAGGAUUGGACGCGGUGCCAGGGUCAAUUCAUUCUUUGAGUAUCAGUAAAGCUUUAUUUCUAAUUUUAUUUAAAAUAAAUAAAAACCAAAAUUCUAAUGUUUUUCUGCCUGCGCUCUGUGGAUUGUAUUGUGUGCAAAGUUUUAGAGACACUGCAAUAAAAAACUGGAUAAGAGGGACCCAGUGAAGACAUACAGGAGGCCACCGCAGUAUGGAAUGGCAGGAGGAUGGGGUGACAAGAGUGAUGAUGGAGGGAAGUAGGUGGACUGGAGAGAUAUUUGGAAGGACAUCACGGACUCAGUGCUGGAGGGAAUAUGGGGGAUAAAUAAGAAGGACCCGAGAGCGCUCCUGGGUCUCUGUCUGGCACUGAGCUGUGCCUUACACGAAGAAAGCGUAUUUAUUCAAAUGUUGAAUUAAAUUAGCACAAUGACACAAAGUGAAACCUAUCUGUGCUGUUUAAAUGGAUUGUUCACUGUGCUUAUAAUGAUACUUUCUCUGCUUUGGUUUCUUAAUAGUUCUACUUUAGAGAAAGUGCAUUAGGUUUUCACUUGGCUAACCUCACUUGUGGAAAACUUCCAAUUUCAAGACCCGAGCCCAGACAGAGUCUAGGAGACACAACGCAUCCCAGUAUUCAGGCUGCACCUCAGCUCCUACAGGGCAGCCCACAUCCCAGGCGCCCUGACUCCAGCGAGAGAGGUCAGUCCUUCCCCUCCCACCACCGAGAACCAGCUUCCCCCGCAGGAAGCUGGAUGAGAGGGCAUGGCACAGAUCAGGAUGGUGGGAGAGGUGGCUGACGGGAGCCCUGGAUACGGGCCAAGCAGAUGAUCACCUCCUCUAGUUUGACUGUAGAGGAUCCAGGAAGACCAGGCCCCGAGGUCCAAAUUCUCUCCCAUCCAUUGGGACUGCUACCUGAGACUCCCCCAGUGGAAAUGCUCUACUCUGCACUAAGUAUCAUCUCCCAGGCAUUCCGAGAGGAGCAGAACGUUAUCCUUGGCAUCUUCAUAUGAGUGGCUUUAUCAGAUGACUUUUUCUCAGUGGCAGGAAAAGCCCAAAGUUUCACAAGAACAUUGUAUGUCUGGGAAAGCAUGGAAACUAACAUCCGGGAAAGCCCCAACUCAAACAUCAUUGAUGCACCCACAUUCCUGGACUGCAGGGGGCAGGCAGAUGGAGGUGCCCUUUUCUUCUCCUAAGCCAAUUCCCCCACCUAGGGAGAUUAUGCUAGUCUAGAAUAUAGAAGGAUAAUGACAAUAUUGUUUAAGAAUUUUUAAAAUCUCUAAUUUACUGAGGAAUGAUGUGUGCCAGGUACUUUGGAAAGCACUUUACAGAUACAAUCUCACUUACUCCUUACCAUCACUCCGUGAGGUAGGUAACUAUGAUUGCCUGUAUUUUACAGAUGAGCAAAGAUCAGAGAGGUUAAAUACUUGUGUAAGGUCACACAGCAUGAAUGAUGUGGCCAAAAUGGUAUUCAAGACAGCAGGAUGUUGUAGAUUAAAGAAAACUGCCCAAGAACAAGACUUGAGUUUGAAGUCCAGAAUUACCAGUUGGCAGCUAUGUGACCUUGGGUGACCUCAGAGCCUCAGUUUCCUCCUCUGUAAGCUGAGGACCCAGAGGAUCUCCAGGGCUCCUCCCAGUUCUGUCAUCCUAUGAAUCUGAGACAUAAUUUUCCAUCCACCAGUCCUCUCACCUAACCAGAUACCUUCUCUUGACUGCAGUUUAAUUAGGUACUCCAUGCUUUAGCUCAAAGAACAGACACUGUUUUCAGAGGGCGAUCAGGUGUGAUCAUAGUUGUCUUUCUUUAAUUCUUAAAGUAAACCGAAGCAGUUACUCUCGUGCUAGUAAGAUCGACGCCUGGGCAGUCAAAGUGUUGGGUGGAAAAUAUCAACCUGCUGACUCCCCGGGGCAGUUGGAGUCACGCUGGCGUGUUAUGCGCUGUGUUGCUGUAACCAAGGCCUGGGAGGCUUGACUGCUUCAGCUGUUCCAUCAGCUGGGAACUAUUCACGUGUCUCAGUUCUCAGAGUUACCCUGCCUUGGGCAGAAUUAUUUUCCACAAAGAUACACACAACAGGUGGCCUGGGGUCCCCAGUUAGCGCCCAGGAUAGGCAUAAUGACCAGUCCUUGCUGCAGACAACUUUUCAGAAGAGAAAGGGCCUUCCUUUAUAACCUGGAGGCGUCUUCAUCAGGGCCUGCCUCUUGUUGCUUCAUCUCAAGUCCGCUUCAAGGAUCCCAGGAGAGAAUCCACGUCUUGCCUUUUCCAGCUCCUAGAGGCCGCCCACAUUCCUUAGGUCACAGCCCCUUCUACCUUCAAGGCCAGCACCAGCCGGGCAAGUCUUUCUCCCUCUGCUGUAUCUGAUCCUGACUCUUCCGCUCCCUUCUUCCCCAUUUAAGGACUCUUGUGAUUACAUUAGGCCCACCUGGAUCAUCCAGGAUACUCUCCUUAUUUUAAGGCCAUGGGAUU